CCUANGGGUGGCUGCAGUCGAGAAUCUUCCACAAUGGACGAAAGUCUGAUGGAGCGACGCCGCGUGAUUGAUGAAGUCCCUCUGGGACGUAAAGAUCUUUUAUGAGGGAAGAAGUUUAUUGACUGUACCUCAUGAAUAAGAGGCUCCUAAUCUCGUGCCAGCAGGAGCGGUAAUACGAGAGCCUCGAGCGUUAUCCGGAAUUAUUGGGCGUAAAGGGUGCGCAGGUUGUUCUGUUAGUCUUUUGUUAAAACCCCGAGCUUAACUUGGGAUCCGCGAAAGAAACGGCAGAACUUGAAAGUGCGAGAGGUAUACGGAACUCUAGGUGUAGGGGUGAAAUCCGUUGAUAUCUAGGGGAACACCAAAUGCGAAAGCAGUAUACUGGCGCAUAUUUGACACUGAAGCACGAAAGCGUGGGUAGCGAAUGGGAUUAGAUACCCCANUANUC
rnacentral:rRNA from 1 species